GUAGGGAAUAUUGGUCAAUGGACGAAAGUCUGAACCAGCCAUUCCGCGUGCAGGAAGAAGAUUCUAUGGAUUGUAAACUGCUUUUAGCAGAGAAGAAACGCCUUCAUUGAUGAGGGUUUGACGGUAUCUGCGGAAUAAGCACCGGCUAACUCCGUGCCAGCAGCCGCGGUAAUACGGGGGGUGCAAGCGUUAUCCGGAAUCACUGGGUUUAAAGGGUGCGUAGGAGGGAAAUUAAGUCAGUGGUGAAAGUCUGUUGCUUAACGAUAGAAUUGCCGUUGAUACUGAUUUUCUUGAAUUGGGUUGAGGUUAGCGGAAUGUGACAUGUAGCGGUGAAAUGCAUAGAUAUGUCAUGGAACACCAAUUGCGAAGGCAGCUAGCUGGGCCUUGAUUGACGCUGAGGCACGAAAGCGUGGGUAGCGAACAGGAUUAGAAACCCGUGUAGUCC
rnacentral:rRNA from 1 species